CCCCUAGAUGUUCUGGGCCGCACGCGCGCUACACUGAACAGUUCAACAAGUCUUAACCUUGGCCGAUAGGUCUGGGUAAUCUUUGAACGCUGUUCGUGAUUGGGAUAGACCUUUGCAAUUAUGGGUCUUCAACGAGGAAUUCCUAGUAAACGCAAGUCAUCAGCUUGCAUUGAUUACGUCCCUGCCCUUUGUACACACCGCCCGUCGCACCUACCGGUUGAAUGGUCCGGUGAAAUCUCGGGACGGCGGCUUGGUCGCUUGCGUCCGACUGCUGAAACUUGAUUAAACCAUAUCAUUUAGAGGAAGGUGAAGUCGUAACA
rnacentral:rRNA from 1 species